GGUGGAGCAUGUGGUUUAAUUCGAUGCAACGCGAAGAACCUUACCUGGGCUUGACAUCCCGAGAAUCCCCUGGAAACAGGGGAGUGCCCUUCGGGGAGCUCGGAGACAGGUGCUGCAUGGCUGUCGUCAGCUCGUGUCGUGAGAUGUUGGGUUAAGUCCCGCAACGAGCGCAACCCCCGUUCUGUGUUGCCAGCGUAAAGUCGGGCACUCACAGGAGACUGCCGGAGACAAUUCGGAGGAAGGUGGGGAUGACGUCAAAUCCUCAUGGCCCUUAUGACCUGGGCUACACACGCGCUACAAUGGCCUGUACAGAGGGAAGCGAAAGAGCGAUCUGGAGCGAAUCUCACAAAACAGGUCUCAGUUCGGAUUGCAGGCUGAAACCCGCCUGCAUGAAGCCGGAAUUGCUAGUAAUCGCAGAUCAGCUACGCUGCGGUGAAUACGUUCUCGGGCCUU
rnacentral:rRNA from 2 species